GACGAACGCUGACGGCGUGCUUAACACAUGCAAGUCGAACGAAGUUGCGAACCGGUGAGUAAUACGUGCGUAACCUGCCCUCCUUUUUGGGAUCACCCUUGGACACGGGGUCUACUCCCGAAUACCUGGGUAUCGGCUAGUGGCCUAUCAGCUUGUUGGGGUGUUGAUGGCUUACCAAGGCGGUGCCGGGUAGACGGCCUGAGAGGGUGACCGGCGACAUUGGGACUGAGAUACGGCCCAGAGGCGGACGUGAGGCGGCAGUGGGGGAUAUUGCACAUUGGGCGAAAGCCUGAUGCAGCGACGUCGCGUGGGGGAGGAAGGCGUUGGGGGUGUAAACCUCUUGCGCGAGCGAACGGGUAGGUGGAGAAGAAGCGCCGGCUAACUACGUGCCAGCAGCCGCGGGAAUUC
rnacentral:rRNA from 1 species